CCCAGGUGUGCCCAGGUGUGCCCAGGUGCCCCCAGCUGUGCCCAGGUGCCCCCAGCUGUGCCCAGCUGUGCCCAGGUGUACUCACGGCCCGCAGCUCAACCUCCUCCCCUGCCUCUGGCACUCCCAAAUCCACCUGGCCCCCACCACGACCCCUCCCCUCUGCCGCGCCCGCGCCGCCUUCGGCGUCCUGGCGAACGCGCACCUGAAAAAAAAAACC